rnacentral:tRNA from 1 species
GGGGGUUUAGCUCAGUGGCGUAAGCGCCUGCCUUGAAAGCAGGCAGUCGUGAGUUUGAUCCCCG